rnacentral:lncRNA from 1 species
AUGUUGGUUCCCCACACUCCAGCUCUAUCAGAGUUCUCAGAAAGUGUGAGAGCAAGCCCCUCGAGGUCAAAUUCAGGAGACACUAGGGAAGAGAGGGUUGCUGAAGAAUUCUGUGGUGCUGGAGAACGGCACAGGCUUGGUGGGUACCUCUGGACUCUAGGAAGAAGAAAACUGGUUAUUUAGGGGAUUUUAAGAGAAUUUAAGAAAAUUUAAGGAAAAUUCAUCUGAUUAAGUAAGGUUGGUGUUGAUUUUUCUUUCCCUUUUUUUCUUUGAGUUUUGCCUCUGUUUUUGCGGCUCAUGUGUACUUUCUGUUAAGGAUUAAUUUGGGGGUAGUAGUCUCAUCUUCCCCUUAUUUGUCAGAGCUUUGAGGUUGAUACUAUGCUAAGGUUAGGCAUUAAUUUAACUAUCCUUCCUAUAUUCCCUUAUUUUUUAAAUAGUCCCUUUUCAACCACCACUUUCUUAGAGUCGUCACUUUUCCCCCAGUAGAUGGGAAGGUAUAUGUCAUUCUGUCUAUUUCAGCUAUGGAUGAAGGAGAUGAGUAAGAACUGCAAAGCCAGGACAUAUAGCUAAGCCUAAGUAGAUGUUGGAAGUUCUCAAAGAGAAAAUAAGAAGGGGAGAUGCUGAUCUCCACAAAAAGUGGAGAUCUCAGUGAUAAGCUGAUUUUUUCCAUUUUUCCAGAUGUUAUGUCCCCUCAUACCUAUCAUAUGAAAUUGGUUGUUAUUUAGAAAACAGCCAAAAUUAGAAAGUGGUUGAAAAAUGGAGAAAUGUGCGGGGAUUUUUUUUCUUUCUUCUGUAAACCUUAUUUAUAACAUUAUCACAUGACCACCCUAUAAAUAAUAACAAUAUGGACUAAGGUUGACGGAAUGACCAGACCCAGACUCCAGAUAAAUGAAAUAGGGCAAAUUAAACAGAAUUACAUAUAUAAAAGUAUGGAAGGAGAUCAGUGUAGUCAGGGUACAUGGAAGAGACAUAUAGGCAUGUUAGUUUCUGGGACUAACUAGCAGGUAUGCAGAUCCCCAAAUCUUCACUGCAUACACAUCUGUAAAGGUUACUGUCUGUGUGAAUAAGGCUCCUGUCAGGUUUUCUGGUGCCUAACCACUUUCCAUAAGUCCAGAUCAAAAGUGCACACAGGCUGGUCUGGAUUUGAGUCAAGGAUCAGCCCACCUGAGUUGGCACGUCUCAUAGAUCUUGGAGUUACUCAAUCAAUCCAUGAAUGGAUUACAAGGCAGGUAGUACGGUUCACUCAGCAUAAUCACAGUUCACAUUUACCACCCUCAGUCUUAUUCGCCUAAUGCAGUUGACUGCAAGCAAUCUCUCAGCACUGCACAGUAGAAGCAGAAGAAGGGCCAGUUGCCCAUACAUUUUGAAGAGUCUCACCACAAAUCCUGCCACUAGGCUCCAAGACCUAUUUUGAAGCUAUUUUUUUACUAAAUUGCAAAUUUUCACACUUUCAUUUUCAUAAUAUCCCCAAAAGCAAGAUGCAACUAAUACCUUCUCCUAAGAUUUUUUGCAUCAAACCAGACUUUGUCUUCCUUCCUGGCACCUUAGAAGCCCACAGAAACCUGCUAGUGAAAAGUAGAUCCUGGUCCUCCUAAAAUGCUGUUAAUUAUUGAAAAAAGAGCUAAUAGUCCUGGAAACCUGAAAAAAGCUGACCACAUCUUGUUUGAGGCUACACACAGUCAUUAAACAUUUCUCCUUUCCACCAGAAAAGCAUGCCCAACAAAACCCUGGCAAAGAGUUUCUGUCCAUCCUGUUCCCGCCCAGAGAGCUGUAUCUACAUCUAUAUCUACAUAUCUAUAUUCAUCUUACAGGGAGUCACACACACACACACUCACACAUAUACGUAAACAUAUAUAUAUACACACAACAUAUAUGUGUUACACUUAUAUGAUAUCUGUAACAUGAUAUAUUAUACUUAUAUGUGUUACACUUUUCAUCCUGAUACCCAAGAUUAAUGAAUGAGCACAGUAACAACAAAAAAAGCCAGCCCUGGUGGUCCAGUGGUUAAGAUUUGGUGCUCUCACUGCUGCUGCCCGGGUUCAUUCCCCGGUCAGAAAAUAACAUUGCUUGACUCUUGGUCAUCCUACUAUGGUGGCUGCUUGUUGCUAUGAUGCUGAAAGCUAUGCCACCGGUAUUUCAAAUACCAGCGGGGUCACCCAUGGUGGACAGGUUUCAGCCGAACUUCUAGACUAAGACAGACUAGGAAGAAGGAACUGGCCACCCACUUCCAAAAAAAUUAGCCAUGAAAACCCUAUGAAUAUCAGCGGAGCAUUGUCUGAUAGAGCAACGGAAGGUGAGAGGAUAGUGCAAAAAGACAGGGCAGGGUUCCGCUCUGCUGUACCCAGAGUUGCUGAGAGUCAGGAUUGACUUGGUGGCACUAACAACAAAUAGUAAUAAAAGUUUUAUCUUAUAAAGCA